GCUCAGUCCCUCCUUACCCAUUCUCCAGUGCCAGGCAGGAGAGGGUGCCACCCGGGACGCAGGGCUGAAGCCUAGUCCCGAGGUCCUGGGAUCACAAAGACAGACAAGUGGCCAGUGAGCCGGGCUGGAAGUGAGGACCCGCAGUGGACAUGGCUGCCCUGCGGAGGAGCCUCAGCCUGAGCUCACAGGGCUCACUCCCAAGUCGGGCGUCUCCAGGGGCCAGGCAGGGCGUCCAGAAGCCUAAACUUGCCUUCCUGGCAGGGGGACACUGACCCUGUGGUCCCAGCUGCCUACCCUUGACCUCUGGAGGUAGCAUCCACCCCUCAAACCCAUCUCAACACACCCUCCCUGCAGAGGAGGAAGCUGGCUCACACUGUGCCCGAUCUGCCCCACAGUGGUGCGCACACCCCCCGUCUUCUCUGCAUCCCUCUUCUCCUCCCUCCCUGCUCCACCCCUCUUCCUCUCUCUUCCUCCCUCCUUCCCUUCAUCCACUCCUCCCACAUCCCCCAUCCAGCCAGUUAUGCAAUGACAUUUGUCACAGUGCUCUGGGGACCGCAGAAGGUGCUCAGGACACAGCAACGGAGAGGUAGACUGGAUUGGAGAGCCGGCUGUGGUUCCACAGCCCAGCAUUCCUAGGGAGCCAGACUUGGCCCAGGCCCAGCUCCAGCCCUUGGUGGGUGCUGACCCGGAGCGCCUCGUGGGGCUGCAGACACCUCUGGCUUGUCUAUCCCCGCACCAUCCUCUGUCUGUCCACACAUGGUCAGAGCUUCUUCCAGCAUGGCAGGCUCAUACUGUGCACAAGGUGAGUGUCACCAGGGAGCUGAAGGGCCCAGCCUGUCCCUUAGUGUAGAGGUGGAGCCAUACGACAUUGCUCCUGCCGUACUAUUGUCAUUCUCUCCCAUAGGCUUGGCUCAGCUUCAAGGAGAGAGGACAAUGUAGACAUCACCUCUCGAUGGAAAGAGUACCGAAGAACUUGCGGGUCAGGUCAGGCUCCUCGAGACUCCCCUCGCCUGACACCACAGCCAGUGGCUCCCCAACUGCUUCUGAGCUGAGCCCGAGGCCGCUGAGCCGCAUCUCCCCACUGACUGUGUCCACAGGAGAGGGUCUUGGGCAGCCACGCCUCAGCUGAGGACCCCUGGGCUCCUCUCCCAGCCAGGCCCUUCCCUGUCGGUGCCCAUGGCCGGGCGCCCCAGACCAGGCAGGGGUGGCAUGGAGCUUCUCCCAAUCCUUGACAUCGCAGAUCAGUGUAACAGUAUGUGCCCCGAACACAGGGCUCGAGCACCGGAGAGCAUUCUGGCCCUCAGGUGGAGGAUCCCGAAGGUCGGUGAGCAAGCGAUGACUCGGCCCCAGGCAUGGCCCUGUUCACAUUCAUCCAGAGCUGGAAAAGUCCACCUGGCUGCUGGGUUCCCUGCAAGGCCCCUCAGAGUGUGAGGUCACAGUGGCGGGAGAGCCCAGCAGAGCCAGAGGUGGAGGCAGCAACCCAAGCCCCGUGCCCGGCGUCACACUGUCCUCAGAAGCGGUUUCCAGGCUGGCACCUUCCAGGCCUCCUGGCCCCGAGGCAGGUCCUCAUCCUGUGUCCCUCCCGGGCCAAAGUUUGGGGACUUGGCCAUGCCUUCCGGGGGCGUCUGCCCUCUGGCUACUCAGGAGCCGGAGAGGAUGGUGAGAAGCCCAGUUCACUGAUGGCCCUGGGAGUGGACAGCACCCACGUGGGCACCAGUCCAGACCUCCUAGACUGUCUGCAGUUGGCACUGCCCACCCCUGCCCUCACGCCUGGGACAGCCUGUGGAUGGUCCCUUCUGUUACUCAGCUGUGCUGCCAACAAUGGAAGAAUGAAUGCUAAGUGAUGGGCUUUCUCUGCCCUACGAGGCUGCAGGCAACUGUGAAGAGACCUUGAGGCCAGAGGAGCCCACCUGAGCCUCCACCUGUGGCAAGCAGCCAGUGCCUGGCCUGGGCGAGGAGCGUGGGGUGGGCCGGGCAGGAAAAGCACGAGAGCUUGAGGGUGAAGAUUCAUGUUCGGUUUAGUCCUGUUUGUUGCAGGCUCACCAACUUACCAACAGUCCUAGACCGCUAGACUUCCUUGCUCUUCUCCUGUUAACAGCGUCCUCGAGCUGUAAUUCACAUACACGCGGCUCAGUCCUUCAGUGUUCAGUUCAGUGGUUUGCAGCAGAUACGCUGUGCAGCCUGCACAGUGGUCAGUGCUAGGUCAGCCGUAACUCCUCAGAAAGAAACCCCACUCCCUGGAGCAGCCGUCCUAUCCUUCCACCCCUGCCCCACCCCUAAGCAACCUCUAAUCUCCUCCCCUCUUUAUGGCAUUAGCUGCUCAAGACUUCAUGUAAGUGGCAUUACACAAUAUUUGUC
ensembl:lncRNA